GAACCGAAACACCCCUGGGGUGCAGGCCCCAGGCUGCUGGCCUCUCUCUAGCCCGGCCUUGCCUUACUUCCUGCUCUUCUAGGAAUUCCCUGUAACCUGAGGGAGGCCUCAGUCAGGGCAGGGGUGUCACCUUCCCCAACACGGAGCAGCCUCUGUGGCUCCGUGAGGACUGGAGGGCUCCCUGGGUGUCACCCACUCACUUCUUUCCUCUGACUUCUGCUGCACCUUCACCUUUUCCUGUGCCUCACUGUGGAGCCGAUGGCUGUGGCAGCCUAGUCAGGAGGCACCCUGCUUUGCAUUGGCUGCAGCUCAGGCUCUGGGUGAAAGGAUGAUGUCUUGACUCGUACAUCAAUCACAGACUCUAAUGUUGGCUUCUGAAUGCUGAGGACUACAGUGCCAACAGGCUUCUGCCUUGAGAAUGGCUUCUGGGGCCCAGAAAGCCCUCUGCCUUAGCGGACGGCCUCUUCUCUGCUUAUAGAGAAGGCGAAGGAAGAGAAAAUCUGUCCCUGAACCGGGGUGGCAUUUCUCAAGAGUGAUGUCAGGGUGAAGGGUAUUUUUACCUUGGGGAGUUUUCCCAGCCCUUCAGCCAACAACCCCUGACCAUAGCCAGCGGGAAACCACGAGUUCUCACAGGACAUAGAGGAAGUCAAGAGUUCUACAAGAGGUGUCCAACACACAGGAAAAAAGCUUGGUGCUCUUCAGCAAAUGAGAUCCAUCACCCAAGAGUGUGGCAAUUUGAAAAGGUCAGAGAAUUUUUCUGUCCCACAAGUGUUUAUAAAAUUCUAUUUACAAGAUACAGAUAUUUCUCAGGGGGAAAAAUCCAUUCAUCCUGGGUCUGGGAGUUCACAUGUACAUCUCGCGCCCCCUGUGGACACAUUACAGGCUGGAGAAAUAAACACUCGUGCUCUCCUAAUGCUUCUGAGGAUGAACGCCGUAUAGAUCACACCGGAACACAGCAGUGAUGAUCUUCUCCAGGAUGGAGAUAGUUCAUCUUUAGACCAGAGGGCUGGGCACAUGACCGGUGCAGUGCCGUGGUCCACUGUGCCAUGGUUAACCAGUGCCACCACCUGGGCACACAGGGCUGCAUGCAACAGGAGGAGUGAAUGGGCUUCUGCCUGUUGGCUGUCUUUCAACAUGGCACAAACCCCGGGGUCUGCUCUAGGAGGAGACAGUUGCAGGGAGCGGUAGGGACCAGAUGCAGGGAAGCAAACCCCUACCUGCAGCUGUCGCCAGCCUGGGUAACUCCUACUGGGCAAAUGGCUAUGGUGGGGGCUCUGUGUGCACAUGGAGACACAUGGAUGGUAGCCCAAACACCGUCUCUUUCUCAAAUGCCUUCCCACAGAACAGGGUCAAAGAGGCCUCUCUCCCUACCCACUUCCCCCCUGCCAAGAGGGGACAGACUGGGAAGGCAACUCCUAUCGGAUUCAGGUCAUGUACUGGCUGGAAAGAAGAGAUGGAGUGGAGUCCAGGGAAUCCAUCGAGGCAGCCAGUGGGAAGACCAAGUUGGGAAAGCUGGGUUGUGUGACACUAGUGAUGGGUUUGGACCAGCCAGAAGGAAAAGACAAGAGACAGAAAGAGGAGGGGACACAUGGAACGGAAACAAGCAAUAGCCAAGGGGAGAAAAGCAUCACAAACAGAACCAGAUUCAUUUACUGAAUAAUACACGAAGAGCCAAACUGCAAUCCCAGAAACACUUAUGUGUCACCAAGAGUUUACGAUCCGGGUAGAAUGAUGGCAACGUCAAAAUCCAUUUAACAUUCUGAGCUAUGAACGGUGUGAAACCUGGCAUGUACAAGCAGUGAGGAUCCCAGACUGAAAGUGGCUGCAGCUCUUUUGACAAUGCCACCUCUGCUCAUUACUCUCAUCAGGAGGCAUCGCAGCCAUCAGAUACAGAAUUCUAAAGGUUUAUAGCAACAACAAAAAAUACAGCUUUUCUAGUUUUUUGUUUUUUGAAAUGGAGUUUCACUUUUGUUGCCCAGGCUGGAGUGCAGUGGUGCAAUCUCGGCUCACUGCAACCUCUGGCUCCCAGGUUCAAGCAAUUCUCCUGCCUCAGCCUCCUGAGUAGCUGGGAUUACAGGUGCCCACCACCACACUCAGCUAAUUUGUGUAUUUUUAGUAGAGAUGGGGUUUCGCCAUGUUGGCUAGGCUGAUCUUGAAGUCCUGACCUCAGGUGAUCCUCCUGCUUCAGCCUCCCAAAGUGCUGGGAUUAGUCAUGAGCCACCUGGCCUGGGCAGCUUUUCUGUUAAUAUCUCAUGUGCUUUAGAAACAUUUUAUACCUUGCAGAAUGCAGUCCCACUGUCAGCUUGCAACUGUGUCAAAAUAACAUGAAUCCAAAGUAGGAGGCGAGACGCAAGAUGAGACUGCUUGCACUAGCCCCAACCUGGGACCCAGCGGACACUCCCCCACAGUAGGUCUUAAGGAACCAUCAUCAUCAUCAUUCAUAACAGUGGCUGGCAUCACUGGGAUGUGUCAGAAAGAGAAAGGAGAGGAAACAAUCCAACUCUACUGGAAGUCAAUUUCAUAAGCAGCUGGGACUUCGUUUACUGUGUCGAGGAUGGGUUUCAAAUCAUAGCAGCUACCGCUGUGCCUCUGUCUCCCCCACAACCCCUGCUAAGACAGUUUGUCCCCUCUGUGGCCAGAGGGAUGGCUUCAAAUUCCCCACAGCCCUAGCCUAAGAGGUUGAACACUGAGGGACACCCUAAACGUUUAUGAAAUCGAAAAGCUCUGAAAAGUGCUGCUCUGCAGAGACCCUUUUCUCGAGUUCCUGCCGAAUCCCAGAAGUGCUGGCUCUGCAUCCUUCUCUGUACCCAGCCCCUAACUGAGGAGCAGGGACUUCCUGCCCUAAGGGAAUAGGGGCUCUGUUUGCAGCAGGAAGCUAUGUAAGGGAAGAAGGCUGUGCAGGGCAGCACGGUUAGGGUGCUUUGGUAUUUGGAGGAUCAUAAAAGGUGAGAGAUCAUGGAACCACAUAUGUUACAUGUCCAGAAUUCCCUGGAUUCCAGAAUGGCAGGGAGAUGACAUCCUUGUCAUUCAAAUACAAUGCGGACCUGUGCAUUCUUGUGUUUUAAAUUUUUUGAGUUGUAAUUUCCAACGUGAUGAAUAACUCUAUCAUCUAUCUAUCUAUCUGACAUCUAUCUCUCUACCUACCUUCAAAAUAUAUACAAACAAAAGCUCUUUGGGGGGUCCUUCAUAACUUUUCAAUGUGUAAAGGAGUCUUGACACCAAAACACUUGAGACCUGCUGGAAUAGAAUAGUAAAAUAAAAUAGUACGUGCUGUUGGGACACUUCAUUAAACAUUUAGAAAAAAGUUAGAACUUCAGCUUGCACCACAUCCACAAAACCACUGAUAGAUAAAUUACUGCACCAAAUGUAAGAAACACAAUAUAAAGGUAUUUGAGGAAAAUUCAGGAAACAUGGGGUGAGAAUAGAAGACACAAACCGAGGAGUCAUAUGCGGAUAUGAGACUGACGGAUUGUGUUCCUUAAUAAACAUUUUUGUGUAAAAAAGUAAAGUUAAAUGUUGGAUUUGGAGAUUGGCAAAGGAUACUUAAGAGAUUAUUAUUAUUACUGAGAAUACAUUAAGAACUCCUACAUGUUCAUAGACAAAGAAUGGAUAACCCAAUUGAAUCAUGGACAGGGACAUUGUAAUAAGAAAAAAAAGGCACACGAAUGUAAAAAGAGGUACAAUCUAUUAUCCAGGAAAUGGAAAUUAAAACAAUGUAAUUUUUUUUCUUUUCAUCAAAUUGGCCAAAAUGACAAGACUGUUCACAGCCAGUGCCGUAGAUGUCUGGGGACACAGGAGCCUGGGCUGGCCCAGUCUGUUACGAGGAGCAUUUGGUGUGUCUAUCAACACUUAAAAGUGCUUUGCUUCAACUCAGAGAUGCCACAACCUGUCAGUCCUAGAGACAGAGUAACAUGUGCACACAGAGAUACACACAAGAACAUUCACUGCUUCAUUUCAUGAACAGUCAAAUAAAUUAAAAAAUCUAAUAUCCAUCAACAGGAGACUAAACUACAGUUCAUCUACACUCUGGAGUUCUCUGAAGUAAUUAAAAAAGAAUGAGGUAGACUUAUAUAUCGUCAUGGAAACAUCUCCAGGAAAUAUUUACAAAAAUCAAAUUGUGGAACCAUGCAAAAAGAAGGGACCUUUUUAGGUACAAGUCCUCCCACCCCAUAUCAGCAUAUGCGUACCAUGCACACGGAUGCAUUCAAACUCUAAGACCAUCUGGAAGGACACAGCAAACCCGGCAAGGAUUCCUACAGCAGAACGGAGGAAGGGCCAAGACCAGCACUUCUGUUUUUGCUCUUGUGUUUCUGGACCAUUGGGGAGUUUUUACACUAAGAAUACAUUCUUGUAGGACUCAGUUGAUUUGAAAAAACAAACAGCCUCUUCCCCACCCUGUGAUCUUAUGAGACACGAUCUGAUGCUUUUUCUUCCUGACCCUCCCUCAGUGGGACUGGUUAGGGGCAGCAGGACGUAUCUCAGUCCCCUGGUGGGAGAGAGGGGCAGUUGUUGGGAGAACCGGGAUCCAGCUCUGGACACCCCUGAGCAAGUCAUUAACUUCUCAGCACAGCUGCAGCUGUGAGCAUCCUAGGGGCACCUGUCCUACCUACUUUCUGGGGUCUCUCUGAGGAUCAGUAGGUAUCAGGAUGGGCAGGUUAAUAAAGACCUGUGCUGCGUUUGUGAUUUU